AUGGCAGACUUCAGAAAUCUCCGUAAUCUGCGUGAAUUGCAUUUGGGAUCCAGUCAAUUGAGGGGUAGCCUCCCAGCAUCCAUAUUUGCACUUCCACGCCUUGAGUACCUGGAUCUUUCAUACAACCUCUUUGAAGGACAUAUACCUAUAAACUUAUCUCGGAACUUGCGCUUGCGAGAAUUAUAUUUGACUUUCAAUAGAUUGGGUGGAGGCCUCCCAGCAUCCUUAUUUGCACUUCCACGGCUUGAGUACUUGGAUCUUUCAGAAAACCUAUUUCAAGGGCAUAUUCUUACAAACUCAUCUUGGAACCUCCGAGAAUUGCAUUUGGGAUCCAAUCAAUUGAGUGGUACCCUCCCAGCAUCCGUAUUUGCACUUCCAUGCCUUGAGUACUUGGAUCUUUCAUACAACCUCUUUAAGGGACAUAUACAUAUAAACUCAUCUUGGAACCUGCGAGAAUUGCAUUUGAGAUCCAACCAAUUGAGUGGUAGGGUCCCGGCAUCCGUAUUUGCACUUUCAUACCUUGAGUACUUGGAUCUUUCAGAAAACCUAUUACAAGGGCAUAUACCUAUAAACUCAUCUUGGAAGUGUACAUCAUCGCUUCAUACUAUCCGGUUAUCUGAAAACAGGCUAAGCGGUCAAUUUGAUUUCUUCUGGCUGAGAAACUGUACCAAACUCAAAGAGCUAGAUCUAUCUAGGAAUACUGAUUUGGUCAUUCAAGUGAAAAUGCAUGGCUGGGUACCUAAAUUUCAGUUGAAUACACUAAGGCUCUCUUGGUGUAACCUUGAUAAGAGCAUGAUUACCGAGCCACAUUUCCUGCACACACAGAAUCAUCUGCAGCUUCUCGAUUUGUCCAACAAUAAUUUGCCGGCGAGCAUGCCCAACUGGCUGUUCACAAAGAAAACCACACUAGUUUACCUGAAUCUUGCAAAUAACUCACUAGUUGGAUCACUAGAUCUGAUAGGGCAACCCCAAACUAAUCUUAAACAGGUGAAUGUAUCACUGAACCUAGUUGAAGGACAGCUGCCAGCCAACAUUGGUUUGAUGUUACCUCAUCUGAUAAUUCUUGAUGUUUCCCGCAAUACUAUUUCUGGAACAAUAUCACCAUCAUUGUGCAACAGCAGCAUACAACUUAUGGACCUAUCAAAUAACAGAUUUACAGGAAAAGUACCACCUUGCUUGUUCACUGAUUGUUAUGCAAUGAAUAUAUUGAAGCUCUCAAACAAUACACUUGGUGGCAAGAUACUUGAUGGGGCUAGUAGCUUCUCUGCUAACCUGUGGGCAAUACACCUAGGCAACAACAAAUUUGAAGGGACUCUCCCUAGAAAUCUGUCUGGUAAUGUCCAAAUCAUGGAUUUGCAUGAUAACAAUAUGUCAGGAGAACUGGACACUUCCUUAUGGUGUCUUCCUUCACUGCAAGCUUUGAGCCUUGCUAAUAAUGGUUUAACUGGUGGCAUUCAUCCAGAAAUUAGCACAUUAACAAAUCUUAUGAUGUUAGACCUGUCAGGCAACUACUUUACAGGGCGUCUCCCAAACUGCGGCACUAUGGUAGACCUCAUGUUUCUGAGUGUAUCGGGGAAUUCCCUGUCAGGCUCCCCGGGUGCCUUUUUCAACAGCUCCUUCAUUAUAGCUUUAGAUCUCAGCAAUAAUCAGUUCACAGGCAACCUUGAGUGGGCACAAUAUCUUUCUCAAGUCAGUGUACUUUUGUUAAGCAGGAAUGAGUUUGAGGGACAUAUCUCUUCAAAUCUCUGUCAUCUCCAACACUUGAGCAUAAUCGACAUCUCGCACAACAGACUUUCAGGUUCCAUACCACCAUGUAUUGGCGGCAUUCCAUUUGAACCCGUCGAUCCUUACGAACAUUGGCCCGCAGCUGGUAGUAUUACCUAUGGAGGAGGGGAAUAUGGCGCGGACUUUGUUUAUACCAAUAAUUAUGACCUCCCAGGCUUCACCUUCACAACUAAAGGGCAACCAUACACAUAUGGACAAAACUUCUUCAUGUCAAUGUCUGGCAUUGACUUCUCUUCAAACAUGCUGUCAGGUGAGAUUCCGAAGGAGAUGGGGAAUUUGCGCCAUAUCAAGUCUCUCAAUUUGUCAGACAAUUUCUUGACUGGACCGAUUCCUGCAACCUUCGCAAAUAUGAGCGAGAUCGAAAGCUUAGACCUAUCCAAAAACAGGCUGAAUGGAUUGAUACCAUGGCAGUUGACACGGCUAUCAUCAUUGGAGGUGUUCUCUGUGGCAUGCAACAACUUAUCGGGAUGUCUACCAGACUCUGGUCAGUUUUGGCUCAUUUGA
rnacentral:rRNA from 1 species